AUGAACGCUGGCGGCGUGCCUCAUACAUGCAAGUCGAGCGAACAGACGAGGAGCUUGCUCCUCUGACGUUAGCGGCGGACGGGUGAGUAACACGUGGAUAACCUACCUAUAAGACUGGGAUAACUUCGGGAAACCGGAGCUAAUACCGGAUAAUAUAUUGAACCGCAUGGUUCAAUAGUGAAAGACGGUUUUGCUGCCACUUAUAGAUGGAUCCGCGCCGCAUUAGCUAGUUGGUAAGGUAACGGCUUACCAAGGCAACGAUGCGUAGCCGACCUGAGAGGGUGAUCGGCCACACUGGAACUGAGACACGGUCCAGACUCCUACGGGAGGCAGCAGUAGGGAAUCUUCCGCAAUGGGCGAAAGCCUGACGGAGCAACGCCGCGUGAGUGAUGAAGGUCUUCGGAUCGUAAAACUCUGUUAUUAGGGAAGAACAAAUGUGUAAGUAACUAUGCACGUCUUGACGGUACCUAAUCAGAAAGCCACGGCUAACUACGUG
rnacentral:rRNA from 1 species